CAAUAGGGCCCAUUAUGCGAAAUUUUCUGUUUUGGAGGGCCAAAACUGUGUUUUUCUGUAAAACAGUGGACUACUAGUGUUCCAAGUACUUUUCAAAGGUUUAAAAUGCUUUUCAAAUUUAAAAAGGACCAAAGUUGCAAAAUUUUUCCAAUUUGGGCCAAAAUUGUAAAAACUGCGAAAAAGAGGGGUUAUAACCGAGAAAACUGCAUUUUCAGGGACUUAAACUGUUUUCAAUGAAAAAUAUGCUGAAAAAUAUUACUUUAAAUAAUUUUUGGUGUUAAAAUGUCAAGAAAAAUGAUUUAAGGACCAAACCGGAAAGUUAUUAAAUUGAAGGGUUGAAAAAUGUAAAUUUUACAAACAAUGAGGGGCUGAAAACAGAAAACUUCCAAGGCUAAUUCAAUACACGCAAUUUGAUCAAAUAAUGGCACUGCGACUAUCGACGAAAUACAAUACACAACAAUACCAAAAAUCGUUGUUAAACGAAUUGAUUCGGUCUCGAAUCAAUAACAAUCCGAAAAUACUAACACGACGAUAACUCGAUUCAUACACGAAAACAUUUGGUAAUUCAACAUACAUGCGAGUGUGCACAGACGUCUACGCACCAUCUUUGGGCCCCAAAAGUGUAAAAUCUUGUUCGUUGGGCCUAGCUAGCCCAAUGACCUGAUCUUAAGGCCCGAAGACUUCUACCUUACGAAGUGUUGGGUUUUACCGAUCUAACACAACGUAAAAGGACUUUCAAUGGCUUGUAUACUAUUGGUCCCCAAGGGUCCUUUGGUAUUGCUAGUAAAGUCGAUAUUUCAUGCGAGGCGGGUCAGGGACCCCUCGUACCUUUUUUUUAUCCCCAACCGGUUAAUGGAGUCAUCGGGGUCUUCGUGUCCUCUUUCUCUUCGGAUGUGGGAUUACUCGAAGUCAGGGCGGUCGGAUAACGUGAUUAGUACGGACGACGCCUACGGGAUCGUUAGUAUAGUUAUAAACUGGUCGUUUGUGUAACGCGUGUUUAUAGCAAUUAAUCAUGCUCAAAAAUAAUCCGACGUCGCCUGGAAUUGAUAACUUCACGCGUUGCAAUGGUUUCAUUUUAACUUCAUGGAAUUCAAAGAAUUAGGAAAACAUCGGGUUUUCCUAGGGUUUUUCAAUACAUACGGAUUCGAAAUGUAUACAAGUUUAAUGAACAAUUUUUUUAAGUAUAGAAACAAACAAGCAUACCUAUGGAUCUUCACAAACGUUUUCAAAAGCUUUUCUUUUCAGAAAAUAUCGGAUUUUCUGGUGGUUUUCAAACGACACGAAACAUUGUUUUUCAAAUACCGCUUAUGAACUCACCAACAUUUCACAUGUUGACGUUUUUCAAAAUACUUGUAUUCUCAGGUAACCAGUGAAUCAAAGGAAAAUGUACUCAGUGAUGGCUUGCAGUUUACUUAUUAACGAAUCGAACAAUUUAUUUUUGGGAAUGUAAUGUUUAAACAAUGUACUUCAUGUAAACUUUAUUGGUUGUACUAUAUUAAUGCAUGGUGACGAAUGUUGUUACGUUUCAUAUAUAUUCAAUGUUAUGGUAUUCAAUUGAGUCACGACAGCUCCCGAACGUUUCCGCCGUCUGGUUCGGGGGUGUGACAGGUUGGUAUCAGAGCUUUGUUUAUAGUGAACUAGCAUGUCGAGCCACACAUUGAUAUGCAACUAUAAACCAAAAAGAGGGACUAACAUAACUCUGAACAAAACAAGUAAAUAAAACACGCUUGCUUGCAUUAGGAAUAAGAACAUAACGCCGAAUCAAACACAAUAAUGCUGGUAUCUCGGUUAAUUCGGGACUGUUCUUAGUGAUACCAAGGAGUGAAUGUAGCCUGAUCAACUACAUUCUCUCCAAAGUAAAACUAACACACGUCUUGAUGAGAUCGGGAUAGCUAGGGAACCUAAAACUAUACCCUUUAUCACUAAAAAGAGAACGCUUGUUUAGUCCGUACAAUAGUCAUAGCAUCCUAGGAAUAAUGUUAGCAUAUUUACAUACUCGCGCAGACAGCAUGGCUGGUUUUCAUCACCCUGGAGACCCCUAUUUCCCUAAUCAGGGAAACAACGGGUGGCUAGAGGAGGAGGAGCCUGAGGAAGAGCCUGAAGAGGAACCUGAGGAAGACCCCGAAGAGGAAUCUGACGGGGAACCGGAGGCAGAAGUCGAGGGCGAGCCUGCCGAACCCGAAGAAGACGAAGAGCAUUUCGAAGAGGAGCUCGAUGACAGCGAAGGGGGUGAUUCGGACGCAGAGUCCGAGGUCAUCGACCCCCCUUACCCGAUCAGGGUGCCUGCUUAUCGUGUGGGCCCCACUGGACCUACCCCUCCUUGGGGCAUUGAUCUUUGGAGAUGGAGCAGACAUCAGGGACAGCGACCCCCGUUUGGCAUGUCACGUGAGUUCUUUGACCUGAGGGACGGAGGACCGGCCGACCGAGCCCUACCGGUCAUGGUGAGACGAUUACGGGACACCGGCGACCUUGCUCAGGGCACUGCUGAUCAAGUACGCCAGUUGUGGACUAGGGUCGAGCGUGCGGAACAGGAGACGCGUGACGUCCUCCGGGAGUUUCACAUGAGGCAGGUAAGGUGGGAGUCUCGACUUCAGGACGCAGAACGCUUGGUGGCUCGUCUUCAGGGAGCAUCCACAUCUUCGGCACCACCUCCUGACGCAGCUCAUCGCGGUUAGGGAUAGACUUAUCAUAGUAGGUCAUUAGGAACUAUGCUAUGUACUCCGGCUCUAUGUUUAAGUGACUACACUACUCAUGGAGCCGUUAUGCUGUCGGAUUAGUGUCACUUAUGUAUGCUCCUACGAGCAAAUUUUCUUGUACUAAAUGCGGAUAAUAUUAAUAAACUUUUGUGUGUUUUGCUAUGAUAUUCUCAGUUGUUAUGUGUUGAGGCGUUAUGAUUGUAUGCUUGAUGAUAGUAAUGUUUAGGUUCGUACCCUACACCUAGUUAGUAGGAUCAUAACCUCACCGAAACCACGUACACUCAACAUCUUUCCGUUUCAUGACAGAAAGAUGCCUCGCCCAGCUACUCGCGGAAAUCCCGAACCAACCCCGCCCGAAGUUGACUCCACUGCUUUCCAGGCAGCCGUGUCUGCUGCGGUCACAGCAGCUAUGGCACAACUUCACCGAGGGAACAACGGAGGAGGUAACGGGCAAGGAUCCGGAAGUUCGAACAACGGGACGAACCAAGGACUCACUAAAACGUGCACCUACAAGGAUUUUGCGAACGCUAAACCCCGAACUUUCAACGGUACCGGAGGAGUGAUCGCCCUAAAGCGAUGGAUCGAGAAGGUAGAGUCGGUAUUCGAGAUAUGCGAGUGCCCCGAGCAGAUGAAAGUGAAGUUCGCGGCCUGCACUUUCGUGGACCAAGCACUCACUUGGUGGAAUGGUCAUGUGGAGGCUAUGACACUCCCUGUCGCCAACUCUAUUCCCUGGGCAGAGAUGAAAGAGAUGUUGACGGCUGAGUACUGCCCCCGAGGCGAAAUACAGAAGAUGGAGCAGGAACUAUGGAAUCUCACGGUGCAGAAUGGGAACAUCGAUGCUUACAUAUCGAGAUUCAGCGAACUAUCUCUGUUGUGCCCGGGUAUGAUCACAUCAGAGGGGAAGAAGAUUGAACGAUUCAUUUGGGGACUGACAUCCCCCAUUCAAGGGAAUGUGAUAGCUGCGAACCCUGAAACUUUUGACAGUGCGAAGAGAUUGGCAAAGAGGCUAUAUGAUCAUAACCACAAAAAGGGCGAGAAACCGGUAGAGACUGAGAAGAAGAAGGAGAGUGAUGGUAAGAAAGGAUGGAACAACAAGAGGAAGGGGCGUCAGGGUCCCGAGACCUCUAAAAAGCAGCAAACGGUGGCAGUUCACGCUGUCACUGCGCCGGUACCAGUCACAUCACAUGCUCCAGCCUCAGCUGCUUCAAAUACUUCAAGACCCUAUUCCGGCACUCAUCCCAAAUGCAACAAGUGCGGUUUCCAUCACCAAGGAGAAUGUAGGGAGUUCCAUUGCACCAGUUGCAAUCGAAGGGGACACACUGCAAAGUUCUGCAGGACUUAUCCUUCUCAGAACCAGAGUCAGGGAAACAACCAGAACAACAACAACAACCACCGCAACACCAACAACACCAAUGCCGGCGGCAACAACGCAGGGCCUAGCCACACCUGUUUCGGGUGUGGAAGGACGGGACAUUUCCGUCGAGAUUGCCCUAACAACAACAACAACUCCGGAAACAGAGGAACAGGAAGAAUGCUGACUAUGGGUCAGAGUGAUGCAGUUCAAGAUCCCGCAGUUGUGACCGGUACGUUUCUCCUAAACCACACUUAUGCAUGCAUCUUAUUUGAUACCGGAGCGGAGCGAAGUUUCGUAAGCGAGAAGUUUAAACAUUUACUAAAACAACAACCCCAGAAGCUAAAUGAAACCUAUACGGUGGAAAUGGCCAAUGGGAAAACCGAAUCCACUAGGGAGAUCUACAUCGGAUGUACCCUAACCCUUAACCAGCACGUCUUUCGAAUAGACCUAAUGCCAGUAUCAAUUAGGAGUUUCGAUGUGAUUAUCGGCAUGGAUUGGUUAAGCCCCCACCAUGCUGAGAUUUUGUGCCACGAGAAGGCCGUUCGCCUUCGUCUCCCAAAUCACGAAACCCUAGUAAUUUACGGAGACAAACCCAGUACGAAUCUCCGCCUCAUCUCGUGCAUCAAAGCGCAAAAACACUUGCGAAAGAACAAUUUGGCGUUCUUGGCCCACAUAGUGGACAAGACCAAAGAAGAAACUAACAUCCAAGACAUUCCGGUAGCGUGUGAAUUUCCGGACGUGUUUCCCGAAGAUCUUCCAGGAGUACCCCCAGAGAGACAGGUUGAAUUCCGAAUCGACCUCGUUCCAGGAGCAACUCCCCUCGCUAAAUCACCAUAUCGGUUGGCACCUGCUGAAAUGCAGGAAUUAUCCAGCCAACUCAGUGAGCUUCUGGACAAGGGAUUUAUCCGACCUAGCUACUCGCCAUGGGGAGCUCCGGUGCUCUUUGUCAAAAAGAAGGACGGAUCUUUCAGAAUGUGCAUCGAUUACAGAGAGUUGAACAAACUCACUGUCAAAAACCGCUACCCACUCCCGCGAAUCGAUGAUCUAUUCGACCAGCUCCAAGGAGCUAGCUAUUUUUCUAAAAUAGACUUACGGUCCGGAUACCACCAACUCAAAGUCCGAGAAGAGGAUAUUCCAAAAACCGCUUUUCGAACCCGCUAUGGACAUUAUGAAUUCGUCGUAAUGCCCUUCGGUCUAACAAAUGCACCUGCCGCAUUUAUGGACCUAAUGAAUCGAAUCUGUCGACCGUUUCUGGACAACUUCGUCAUUGUGUUUAUCGAUGACAUCCUCGUCUAUUCUCGAAGCAAAGAGGAGCAUGGCCGACAUCUCCGACAAAUUUUAGAGACUCUGCGCACGGAAAAGCUUUACGCCAAACUCUCCAAGUGCGAGUUCUGGCUUCGGAGUGUGAAUUUCUUAGGCCACGUAGUUAGCCAAGAUGGAAUUCAUGUGGAUCCCUCUAAGGUCAAAGCUGUGGAAGGAUGGGCAACUCCGACUACGCCCACAGAAAUUCGUCAGUUCUUAGGCCUAGCAGGCUACUAUAGGAGAUUCAUCCAAAACUUCUCUAAGAUCGCCAAGCCGCUUACCUUGCUUACGCAAAAGGGCGUGCCAUUCAAGUGGACAGACCGACAAGAGAUUGCGUUUCGAACCUUGAAGCAAGCUCUUUGCAGCGCUCCUGUACUAUCUCUACCUGAAGGAACGGAAGAUUUUGUAGUUUACUGUGACGCGUCAAAUCAAGGCUUAGGUUGCGUUCUCAUGCAACGUGGAAGAGUGAUAGCAUAUGCGUCCCGUCAACUAAAGACGCACGAAGUAAAUUACACGACCCAUGACCUAGAACUGGGAGCCGUGGUCUUCGCCCUAAAAAUUUGGAGGCACUACCUGUACGGUACUAAGUGCACCAUCUUCACAGACCACAAGAGCCUCCAGCACAUCUUGAAUCAGAAGGAGCUGAACAUGAGACAACGAAGAUGGGUGGAGUUGUUAAACGACUACGAAUGCGAGAUCAAGUACCAUCCAGGCAAGGCCAACGUGGUAGCUGACGCAUUAAGUCGGAAGGAAUACACAAAUCGCCGUACGAAAACGCACUCGAUAACCAUUCAGUCUCAUCUGACCACUCAAAUUGCAUCAGUCCAGGCAGAGGCUAUGAAAGCGGAAAAUAGAACUAGCGAGGCAUUGCGCGGAAUGGAGAAGAACCUGGAAGUCAAAGAGAAUGGGGUAUACUACUUCAUGAACCGUAUUUGGGUUCCAAAAAUCGGAGGAUUCAGAGAGACCGUUAUGAAGGAAGCCCACAAGACACGAUACUCCAUUCAUCCUGGUUCGGACAAGAUGUAUUUGGACAUUAAGCAGCACUAUUGGUGGCCUAACAUGAAGGCGGAAAUCGCAACUUAUGUUAGUAAGUGCCUUACGUGUGCCAAAGUAAAAGUGGAAUACCAGAAACCUUCCGGAUUGUUACAGCAACCGGCAAUCCCUGAGUGGAAAUGGGAGGGGAUUUCUAUGGACUUCGUGACCAAGCUGCCCAAGACGUCGGACGGAUUGGACACCAUAUGGGUAAUAAUCGACCGACUGACGAAAUCUGCCCAUUUCCUGCCAAUCAAAGAGUCCUACAAGAUGGAGAGGCUGACGCGUUUGUACCUACGAGAGAUUGUAAGACUUCAUGGAGUGCCAAAAUCUAUCAUCUCGGAUAGGGACAGUAGGUUCACGUCACGCUUUUGGCAGUCGCUCCACAAGGCCAUGGGAACUCAUCUUGAUAUGAGCACCGCGUAUCACCCACAAACGGACGGUCAAAGCGAACGAACCAUUCAGACGCUUGAAGACAUGCUUCGUGCAUGUGUGAUAGACUUCGGAAAGUCUUGGGAUACCCACCUACCGUUGAUCGAGUUUUCAUAUAACAAUAGUUAUCAUUCGAGCAUUAAGGUGGCCCCUUUCGAAGCACUGUACGGGCGUAAAUGUAGAUCACCGUUAUGUUGGGCUGAAGUAGGUGACACCCAGCUAGCAAGAACACAUACGUCGGAUAGGGCAAUGACAGGACCGGAAAUCAUUCGCGAGACCACAGAAAAGAUUGUCCAGAUCAAAGCUCGAUUACAGGCAUCGCGUGACCGGCAAAAGAGCUACGCUGAUAAACGGCGAAAGCCCUUAGAAUUCCAGGUCGGUGAUCGAGUAUUGUUGAAGGUCUCACCCUGGAAAGGGGUUAUACGUUUCGGAAAACGAGGAAAGCUAAACCCACGGUACAUUGGACCUUUCGAAAUCGUCGCCCGAAUAGGUCCGGUAGCCUACAGACUACAACUACCCCCGGAGCUAAACGGUGUGCACCCCGUGUUUCAUGUUUCUAAUCUGAAAAAGUGCCUAUCAGAUGAAACCCUUGUCAUUCCUCUUGACGAAAUCGAAAUCAAUGAGAAUCUCCUGUUCGUCGAAGAACCAAUCGAAAUCAUGGACAGGGAGGUGAAGCGUACUAAGCAAAGUCGCAUCCCGAUCGUGAAGGUACGGUGGAACGCAAAGCGUGGGCCAGAAUUCACGUGGGAACGCGAAGAUCAAAUGAAGCAGAAGUACCCUCACCUAUUCUAGCAUUCUCAAAUCUAGCUUUCAAACAGAAUUUCGGGACGAAAUUCCCUCUAACGGGGGGAUGAUGUCACAACUGUAAAUUUUGAGCCAUGUAAUCUAUACAUUCAAGUUAAUGUGAAUCAAAAACUUCAAUCAAAUACAACAUGCUAGGACUACAAAUAGUCAUCAAACAAUUGGAGACCCUAGAAGUUCUUGUUAAGUCUAAUUUAGGCUAGAACUUCCUUAUUGGAUCCAAAUGGGCCAAUAAGCUUCCAAUUAGACUAUCAUGGGCUUAGAACCCUAAUUGGGCUCUAAUUGGACCCACACUUAUUUAUUUUAACAUUUUAGGUCAUGUUGGGCCUAGAAUUAAAUAAAUUAAAAGCCUUGAUACAUGAAUAACCUAAAACUAGUUCAAGAAAAACAUAAAAAUCCUACCACACUCCUUAGACUUAAAACACACCCUAAUUACCACUAAUAUUGGGCUUAAGGGCCAAAAGGCCCAAAAAUCUUUUUUUUCUUUCAAAUUCUCGGCCCAAGGCCCACACUCAAGGAGAAAUGGAAGAGUUGACUAUUUGCUUGCCACCUCAUUAUUACCCAACAUGUCUCCAUGCAUCUUAGUCCAUAUCUCCAUGCAAAUCACUUCAAAAGUCAUUUCUUCUUCUCUCCUCUCUCACUCUCGGCCAAGCAUCAUCACACACACCAAAAUAUCUCAACUUUCUCUCUAGAACACUCAAAGAACUCUCCUUCCCUCCCCUCUCCAAAGAUCUCGAAAUUUAGGGACUUUCCAAGAGGAUUUUGCAAGUAAAUCAUCAUCUAAGGUAAGAUUAUUCAUAGAUCUAUGGUUUAAAUUCUUUUGUUAUCAAAAUCUCUUCCUAAUCCAUGUAAAAACCGUGAUCUUGCACUCUAGAAACCCCCUUAAUCUCGAAAAGUUCAUCAAGGAGUGCAAGGGCCAAAAAUCACUUCAUUUCUUCCAAUUUUUCUUCAAGAACCGAAACUACCCACUCAAGGUGAGAUUCAUACCCCUAUUUUCUGUUUUUAAGAGUUUUUGUGGGGGGGAAUACAAGUGAAAGUGUAGAUCUAUAUGUGUUUUGUAUGCCUUGUAUGAUUUCUAUGCUUAUAUGUGUGAUUUUGUGUGUUUAUAAUGUUGGAUCUAGCCAUAAACCCCUAAAAAUCGAGAUAUACUUUAUGUUAAAUGAUAUUAGCAUCAAAUAUAUUUCUACAUACAAAUUGUUCCAAGAAAAAUAGCUAAAUGGUCUGAUAACAUCUUCUUUGGGCUAAAAACUCAAUUUUUUGACAUAAAAUGCUAAAAAAAUAAAGUUAAAGGGCCCAAAUUGACAAAUUGUGAAUUCUGAUGGAUGAGAAGUGUCAAAACAGUUUCAAUAUAGUGUUUUCUGGAAAUAUAAACUUUUGGAGGAUUACAAAUAUGAAUUUCAAGCUUAAUGGGCUAAAAAUGACAAUUUUGGCCCAAUAGGGCCCAAUAUGCGAAAUUUUCUGUUUUGAAGGGCCAAAACUGUGUUUUUCUGUAAAACAGUGGACUACUAGUGUUCCAAGUCCUUUUCUAAGGUUUAAAAUGCUUUUCAAAUUUAAAAAGGACCAAAGUUGCAAAAAUUUUCCAAUUUGGGCCAAAAUUGUAAAAAUUGCGAAAAAGAGGGGUUAUAACCGAGAAAACUGUAUUUUCAGGGACUUAAACUGUUUUCAAUGAAAAAUAUGCUGAAAAAUAUUAAUUUCAAUAAUUUUUGGUGUUAAAAUGUCAAGAAAAAUGAUUUAAGGACCAAACCGGAAAGUUAUUUAAUUAGAGGGUUGAAAAAGUAAAUUUUACAAACAAUGAGGGGCUGAAAACAGAAAACUUCCAAGGCUAAUUCAAUACACGCAAUUUGAUCAAAUAAUGGCACUGCGACUAUCGACGAAAUACAAUACACAACAAUACCAAAAAUCGUUGUUAAACGAAUUGAUUCGGUCUCGAAUCAAUAACAAUCCGAAAAUACUAACACGACGAUAACUCGAUUCAUACACGAAAACAUUUGGUAAUUCAACAUACAUGCGAGUGUGCACAGACGUCUACGCACCAUCUUUGGGCCCCAAAAGUGUAAAAUCUUGUUCGUUGGGCCUAGCUAGCCCAAUGACCUGAUCUUAAGGCCCGAAGACUUCUACCUUACGAAGUGUUGGGUUUUACCGAUCUAACACAACGUAAAAGGACUUUCAAUGGCUUGUAUACUAUUGGUCCCCAAGGGUCCUUUGGUAUUGCUAGUAAAGUCGAUAUUUCAUGCGAGGCGGGUCAGGGACCCCUCGUACCUUUUUUUAUCCCCAACCGGUUAAUGGAGUCAUCGGGGCCUUCGUGUCCUCUUUCUCUUCGGAUGUGGGACUACACGUAGUCAGGGCGGUUGGAUAACGUGAUUAGUACGAACGACGC
rnacentral:lncRNA from 1 species